rnacentral:lncRNA from 10 species
CCUGGAUCAAGCUGGGAGGUAGGGGAUCAGCAACUGCUUAUCAGUUAGUGCCUCACUGGUUUCUUCCCCAUGAGACACUGAAUAAAUAUUUGCUGAAUAAAUGGCCCACUGGCGCAUGUCACCUUGUCCUUAAACUCUGGCUCUAGCAGGAUUUCUGAGUCUCAGGGAGUGUCCCGCUCAACACACUUCAGGAAGUAGAUCUGUUUGCAGGAAAUGGCAGUGUUCUAACCUCAAGAAACUCAGGCUUUCUGAGGAGGGAGGCCCCACUGAGGUGACCUGUCCUGUCCUGUCUGAUGCAGGCCUCUGUCGUGAAAAGUUCCCAGAAGUGGGACCCAGGCCUCCAGCUGCAGCCUGUCCAGGUUCCCUAUCGGAUUAUAAAGCUUAACAUUUUUGUGAAGGAAGAAGAAAGCCUUCCCUCUGGAGAGCGAUAAGAACAUUCCAUCCUCCUCUGGCUCCAGGGAGCCUGGGAAACAAUCACCAAAGGGAGAGAGACUCCCCAGGGACAGGCUCCCGAGGGCACGGGCAGGGCUGCCCUCUGCUGGCCCUCCCACCCGCUCCUGCCCUUCACUCCACAGAGGCCUGGUCUGGUCUGUGGUCAGCCAGUGAGAUCCUGGGGCAGGGGCCUGGGGAAGGGGGCAGGCCUCAGGCUGCACAGACUAAGGUUCCUUGGGGUGGAGGGCUUCUCCGUAGCCUGGCUCCAUAGCUGGGGGGCACAAGGAACCUUGGGCACCAGCUCUCUUGAAUGUGAAUUGUGCAAUCUUGGCAGUAAGAGCUUCCUCCAAGGAGAUCACUCAGAAGACAGGCCAUAUGGGAGUUAAUUUGCAGUGGGGUUGUGCAUAGUUAAGGGAAACCACCAAGGGGUAUGAAGCAUCCCCCGACUAGCAAUGUGGGCGAGAGUAGUUACCAGAAUGCUGUUGGAAGGAGCAGGGCCAUGGCCAAGUUGAGGCCCCUCAAGGCUGGAGUCUCUCUCUGCUCUCAGCCUCUGGUCUCCUGCAGCCGAAAGGCAAGGAUGCCUGAAUACCACAGUCCAUGAAAGUCAGCCUCCUGCACAGAGUGAGGAGAGCCGGGAUCCAGAGGAGCACACGGAGAAGAUCCACAUACAAUAAUAUCUGUUGAAUGAACGAAUAAAUGCCCUUAAGAAACCCACAUAUUGUUGAAGACAC